rnacentral:lncRNA from 13 species
GUGUCUGUCAUGUGGACUUCUCAAGUCCCAAAGGAUUUCCAGACUGUAUUACCAUCAUUUGAGCUCUUCUCAAAGUAUGGAAAAUUAUAUUCAAAAGCUGGGCAGAUUGUAUAAAGAAGACAAAAUAUAGAACUGAGAUUAAGGUGUGAAGUGAGUGUGAACAGAAGACCCCACUGCCUGGAGUCCUGGAUUCUUCAAUGCUGAUGAGUGACCUUGAUUCCCUUAAUCUCUGCAGUUUUUCUCUCUUGUAUGUCAGAAGAAACUGAAACCAUCUGCCUUUUAAACCUCAACAGUUCUUAAAGGAAAACACAGAUGAAGAUCCUGUAGGAAAUGUACUUACUAUGAUUCAGUAAACUAUAAAAUUUUGCAGCUCUAGUCAUGAAUUAAUUACUCUGU